AGUGGCGGACGGGUGAGUAACGCGUAAGAAUCUAACUUCAGGACGGGGACAACAGUUGGAAACGACUGCUAACACCCGAUGUGCCGCAAGGUGAAACCUAAUUGGCCUGGAGAAGAGCUUGCGUCUGAUUAGCUAGUUGGUGGGGUAAAGGCCUACCAAGGCGACGAUCAGUAGCUGGUCUGAGAGGAUGAGCAGCCACACUGGGACUGAGACACGGCCCAGACUCCUACGGGAGGCAGCAGUGGGGAAUUUUCCGCAAUGGGCGAAAGCCUGACGGAGCAACGCCGCGUGAGGGAGGAAGGUCUUUGGAUUGUAAACCUCUUUUCUCAAGGAAGAAGUUCUGACGGUACUUGAGGAAUCAGCCUCGGCUAACUCCGUGCCAGCAGCCGCGGUAAUACGGGGGAGGCAAGCGUUAUCCGGAAUUAUUGGGCGUAAAGCGUCCGCAGGUGGUCAGCCAAGUCUGCCGUCAAAUCAGGUUGCUUAACGACCUAAAGGCGGUGGAAACUGGCAGACUAGAGAGCAGUAGGGGUAGCAGGAAUUCCCAGUGUAGCGGUGAAAUGCGUAGAGAUUGGGAAGAACAUCGGUGGCGAAAGCGUGCUACUGGGCUGUAUCUGACACUCAGGGACGAAAGCUAGGGGAGCGAAAGGGAUUAGAUACCCCUGUAGUCCUAGCCGUAAACGAUGGAUACUAGGCGUGGCUU
rnacentral:rRNA from 1 species